UGCAGUCGAGCGGAUGAAGGGAGCUUGCUCCUGGAUUCAGCGGCGGACGGGUGAGUAAUGCCUAGGAAUCUGCCUGGUAGUGGGGGAUAACGUCCGGAAACGGGCGCUAAUACCGCAUACGUCCUGAGGGAGAAAGUGGGGGAUCUUCGGACCUCACGCUAUCAGAUGAGCCUAGGUCGGAUUAGCUAGUUGGUGGGGUAACGGCCUACCAAGGCGACGAUCCGUAACUGGUCUGAGAGGAUGAUCAGUCACACUGGAACUGAGACACGGUCCAGACUCCUACGGGAGGCAGCAGUGGGGAAUAUUGGACAAUGGGCGAAAGCCUGAUCCAGCCAUGCCGCGUGUGUGAAGAAGGUCUUCGGAUUGUAAAGCACUUUAAGUUGGGAGGAAGGGCAGUAAGUUAAUACCUUGCUGUUUUGACGUUACCAACAGAAUAAGCACCGGCUAACUUCGUGCCAGCAGCCGCGGUAAUACGAAGGGUGCAAGCGUUAAUCGGAAUUACUGGGCGUAAAGCGCGCGUAGGUGGUUCAGCAAGUUGGAUGUGAAAUCCCCGGGCUCAACCUGGGAACUGCAUCCAAAACUACUGAGCUAGAGUACGGUAGAGGGUGGUGGAAUUUCCUGUGUAGCGGUGAAAUGCGUAGAUAUAGGAAGGAACACCAGUGGCGAAGGCGACCACCUGCCACUGAUACUGACACUGACGUGCGAAAGCGUGUGGAGCAAACAGGAUUAGAUACCCUGAUAGUCCACGACGUAAACGAUGUCGACUAGCCGAUGGGAUCCCUU
rnacentral:rRNA from 1 species